rnacentral:tRNA from 1 species
GGCCAGGUAGCUCAGUUGGUUAGAGCAUCAUCCUUAUGCACCAAGGUUGCAGGUUCAAUCCCUGUUCGGGGCA